rnacentral:lncRNA from 1 species
AAAAACUCCAUACUGUGACCAUCUCCAAGCUCUGUCUUAUCCUUCUGUGAGUUUACCAUGUCAUCUAUCUGCAAUCUUUGGGGCAAGGCUGGAACAUAGGAAGGGAAGCCAGACCUGUGUCUAGGUUUGCCUAAAGAGAAGGUACUGCUUUUGGACAGUGAGUUUGUGGAAGCCUCGCCCGCAUCCUACAGCCCAGACGAGUUAGAAUGAUUUGUGCUUCAGGAAGGCCCAGGUAUUUGACCCUUUUUCAUCUCCAUAUCUCCCUCUGGGACUUACAGACUGGACUGCCCCCAUGAGGCACUGAUAAAUAUGAGUAUCCUUUCAAAUUAGCAGUAGAAAAUAAAAAACAAUGUUUUUUUCUCUUCAGCUCCCCUAUGGUAAAAGCCCAGUUUCUCAUGAGGAGAUUAGAGUGUGUGUCUUAGUCCAUUUGUGUUGUUAUAUCAAAAACAGAUUGGGUAGUUUGUAAACAGCAGAAAUUUAUUUCUCACAAGUUCUGGAGGCUGGGAAUUCUAAGAUCAAGAAACUGGCAGGUUCAGUGUCUGGUGAGGGCCUGCUUCCUGGUUCAUAGAUGUCUAUCUUCUCACUGUGUCCUCAACAUGGCAGAAAAGGGCCAGGGAGCUCUUGCGGUCUCUUUUCUAAGUGCCCUAAUCCCUCUGGUGAGAGCUCCACCCUUAUGAC